GACAGCAGGGACAGCAGCACCAGUUACAAGUUUGUAAGUUGAGAGGUCACAGAUACAUAGUUCUGGAAAGAUGUCUGAGUAAUAAAACUUCUCUGUUGUCAGGUCCUUUUAGUCAUCCACUCAUUCAUUUAACUGUGAAAUCUCAGACUGAAUCUGUAUUUUGUCUCUUAGAAGGAAGUAGAAGCAAUGGUUCUAACAUUUUGGUCGCGGUUCUAUUGGUUAGAACUAUUGUGUGUACAAUAGUUCUAAUUAUUUAAUGUAUUUUUUCUCUAAGAAUCAAGCUCUAGAUUCUUAACAUGGACGUAGUGUCUUUUUCUAGUUGGAUCUACAGAGCAGCUUUCUGUUUGGAGACAAAUAUCUGCUUUUUCGCAUGUACUUUAUAGCUCUCCUGGGAUUCCCAUGUCCAUGAGUAUUUUUUUCUGUAAUCUUAAUGAGGCCAUCAGACUAUUUACUUUCUACUCAGGUACAUACAUGCAAGCCCCAGACCAUCUCCUUUACUCAUUAUGAGGCUAUCCUAGGCACUGCAGUGCAACUGAUGAUGCAGCUGAAAACAGAAAGCAUGCUGUAAGACAAUUUGAAACACUGCCAUACAGAGUUUAUGUAGGAGAUGUACUUUUCUUGCUGUAGACAUAGCAUUUAACAGUGACCAAAUUUCAAGCUAGUGCCUGUACAAAGUGCCUCCCCACUCCUGGGACCCAUCUUGUGAGGGAGCAAGCUGCCUUGCACAGCACCUGUGGGUGCUCUGGUGCAGCUGCUACAAGUAGGAGCGCUGGUAUCCUGUUGAGUGGGUUGAGAUGGAGGAGCAGGGUGGGCAGCAUUCACUACUGCCACUACCUUCCUGCAGGCCUCAAGGUGUGGGUGCUGUGGCAGUUAUCUCUACAAAUGCUUUAAUGGAACAGUUGUAUCUAAAAUAUCAACAAAGACCAUGGACUGAAACUCUGAAACUUGUCCAUUUUUGCAUGGAUAAGCCACGUCGAUCUCCUGUCAGUAAUGCUCCAGAUGGUCCGCUGCUCUCGUGCAUGGAGAAGUUGCAGAGAACACUAAAUGAUAAGUCUUUGUUUUCUGUGAUUAACAGAUUGGAAUCUUUAUCCAAACAAAAAGGGCUUAACUCUCAUGUUAGCCCCAGUGAGACUGCCUGCUACAUAACCUCAAACAUGUUUUAUAUAGAAGUGCAGCUGGAGAAGGAUGGAAGGGUGAUGGAUGCAAAGCUGGCUCACCUUGGAGAGGCUCCUGUGAUUUGUGAUGACUUGGUGCAGCAUCUAAGGAUGAAGAAUUAUGAUGCGUUUGGAAAGAUUCUAGAAGACCUGUCAAAUAUGUAUCAAAUUCCAGGAAACAGUGAAAUGAAAGCUAAGGGUUACCUUGCGUUGCAGUCCCUUGAAAAAGAUCUUUAUUCAAUGUCUCUUCUAGACAGAACACAGGAUGUAAACAGAGUUACUGAAGUACUUCAUGGAAAAGUAGGACACCUGGUGCCAAGAACUGGAGGAACUCCUAUGAACAUCGAAUUUUACAUUUCUCCAUAUCAAAUUUUGGAAGCAGAGCUCAAUCCUGGUUCUCUGGUGUGUGGAACAAAAGCAGUUGUAACUGUUGAAGGCACAGACACACUCCACAAGCUUCCUCUUUCUCCGCUGCUGGUAGACUCUGAAGCUGGAGAAGAUGGCAACGCUACUUUUUUGCCACUGACUAAUGAACUCAGCAUGGAUUUGUCAGCUUAUUUUCUGUUGAAGUUUCAUCAACCUAUUCCUCUGUCCUUAUCCAAUAUUGAAGAGAUACAGAUGCUCACAGGCAUGUUACGAUUGUUUUUAAGACUUAAGUAAUUUGUGACCACUGGUUGCUUACUUGCUUUUUAUUUCCAUAUGGUAAUGCGGUACAAGUAAAAACUGGAUUCUGGGGUAGAAAAAUCUUCUGUACUAUCAAUCUGCAUGUCACUUGUUACAAGCCAAGGCAAAGUUGUUAUACACUAUCUAAAAUAUCUUGAAGGUGUUGAUUACCAUCAGCAAAAGAGGAAAGAAGGAAGGCCAAUGUUUUUGUCUGUGCGUUUUCUUUAGUUUGUAAAAACUAGCUUUCAUGUAUAGUCAUAACCUAAAAGCUAAUAAAAAACAUUAUCUGGUUUCAGGAAUUCAGAUUACUGCCUUGAAACUAGCUCCUCUGUAUGAGCUGAUUAUUCAGUCUACCCUUAAAGAAAAAUGUAGUGAAGAUUUGUCUACACACAAAUCCUGUUUCUUUGUGUCUCUUCCAGAUUGCCCAAAGCACUGUUAUUUCAUAAACAAGGGCUCAGAAAAAUCAAAUUUAGUGGGAGCCUUGGUGAGUAAAAUCCCAUUUACCCAUCCGAAGUGCGUGCCCGCUGUAAUAGAGAUUCUUCGACAUCAAAUGGCAUAUAACAGUCUUAUUAGCAGCUGUGUCUCUGACAAGCAUAUAAACGAAGAUGACUCAGAACUGCUUUACUUUGAAGUGGCACCACACAAGAACACCAGCUUUUCUGUCUUCUUCGUUCAUCCUAUGAGGGAGAAUUUAGCUUGUGUGAUUAUUGAUGUUGUAACCUCCAGAAAAGUGCAAUGUAGCCUUCAUUUACAUCCUCAAGAUCCAACUCUAAAUUCUAGUGAUGACUUCAUAUCAAAAUCUGUGAAGUGCUGCAUGUCAGUCCCAGUUGUCAUGAGAUCUAUUUUCAGGAAUGCUGCCAAGGUGGAAGCUGAUAGCGAAACACAAGGAAUGGAAGUAGACACAAAACAAAAACCUGAACUGCCAUGUGACCAAAUUAUCGAUUCUAAUAGUCUUGCAGAAAGUCUUUCUGUAGCU